rnacentral:rRNA from 1 species
CGCCAGACUCCUACGGGAGGCAGCAGUGGGGAAUAUUGCACAAUGGGGGAAACCCUGAUGCAGCGACGCCGCGUGAGUGAAGAAGUAUUUCGGUAUGUAAAGCUCUAUCAGCAGGGAAGAAGUUGACGGUACCUGAGUAAGAAGCCCCGGCUAACUACGUGCCAGCAGCCGCGGUAAUACGUAGGGGGCAAGCGUUAUCCGGAUUUACUGGGUGUAAAGGGGGCGUAGACGGCAGUGCAAGUCUGAAGUGAAAGCCCCGGGCUUAACCCGGGAACUGCUUUGGAAACUGUACGGCUGGAGUGCUGGAGAGGUAAGCGGAAUUCCUAGUGUAGCGGUGAAAUGCGUAGAUAUUAGGAGGAACACCAGUGGCGAAGGCGGCUUACUGGACAGUAACUGACGUUGAGGCUCGAAAGCGUGGGGAGCAAACAGGAUUAGAUACCCUCGUA